rnacentral:rRNA from 1 species
UCAGAGUUUGAUCGUGGCUCAGAGUGAACGCUGGCGGCAGGCCUAACACAUGCAAGUCGAACGGCAGCACAGGGGAGCUUGCUCCCUGGGUGGCGAGUGGCGGACGGGUGAGGAAUGCAUCGGAAUCUGCCUAUUUGUGGGGGAUAACGUAGGGAAACUUACGCUAAUACCGCAUACGACCUACGGGUGAAAGCCGGGGACCUUCGGGCCUGGCGCAGAUAGAUGAGCCGAUGCCGGAUUAGCUAGUUGGCGGGGUAAAGGCCCACCAAGGCGACGAUCCGUAGCUGGUCUGAGAGGAUGAUCAGCCACACUGGAACUGAGACACGGUCCAGACUCCUACGGGAGGCAGCAGUGGGGAAUAUUGGACAAUGGGCGCAAGCCUGAUCCAGCCAUGCCGCGUGGGUGAAGAAGGCCUUCGGGUUGUAAAGCUCCCCCCG